AGUGAACGCUGGCGGUAGGCCUAACACAUGCAAGUCGAACGGCAGCACAGUAAGAGCUUGCUCUUACGGGUGGCGAGUGGCGGACGGGUGAGGAAUACAUCGGAAUCUACUUUUUCGUGGGGGAUAACGUAGGGAAACUUACGCUAAUACCGCAUACGACCUACGGGUGAAAGCAGGGGAUCUUCGGACCUUGCGCGAUUGAAUGAGCCGAUGUCGGAUUAGCUAGUUGGCGGGGUAAAGGCCCACCAAGGCGACGAUCCGUAGCUGGUCUGAGAGGAUGAUCAGCCACACUGGAACUGAGACACGGUCCAGAGGCCUACGGGAGGCAGCAGUGGGGAAUAUUGGACAAUGGGCGGAAGCCUGAUCCAGCCAUACCGCGUGGGUGAAGAAGGCCUUCGGGUUGUAAAGCCCUUUUGUUGGGAAAGAAAAGCAGCAGGUUAAUACCCCGCUGUUCUGACGGUACCCAAAGAAUAAGCACCGGCUAACUUCGUG
rnacentral:rRNA from 1 species